AAGUCGUAACAAGGUUUCCGUAGGUGAACCUGCGGAAGGAUCAUUAACACAAUACUUUCUUAUCAACCUAGGUGCAUCCGUCUGACCCUUUUUAUUCAGAGGUCGGCUAGACAAUGGUUGGAUACGUUCGGUCUAGUCUGCUGUUGAAGUUAGCCCGUCUUCCUCGGAAGGCGAUCGGUCUGACGCUCUGCUUAAGAAGGUGAUACAGUCUUGACCAUGACUGGCCCAUUUUUUUUUUUUCAAACCUUUGUUUAUUGUACUGAUUUGGGCUUCGGAUCGAGAGGAGCAAUCCUUUCUCUGCCAGCUUUUGAUGGAGCAAUCCAUUCAAUUAACCAAAACACAACUCUUAACAGUGGAUAUCUCGGUUCUC
rnacentral:misc_RNA from 1 species